UUGAGAGAAUGUAAUGUAACUGCAUAUUAAACAUUGGCUGUGAUUGUGCUGUGCUGAAUUUUUGCUUUCAGUGUGGACGGACAAAUUCCAUGUUGCUGGUUAGGACAAGGUGUUAAGCCCAGAUUCAUUUCCUUUCACCCUGCUGGUGAUAAAAUAAGUU